UCCACCUUGUCGGCGGCAGUUUCACCAGAGUCCCCGGCCGAACCGAUGGUAACUGGCGAUAAGGGUUGCGCUCGUUGCGGGACUUAACCCAACAUCUCACGACACGAGCUGACGACAGCCAUGCAACACCUGUCUUCCUUAGACCCCUGUUUCCAGGAGCCAUGGAUCCUUGCGGUGAUGUCAAGCCCGGGUAAGGUUCUUCGCGUUGCCUCGAAUUAAACCGCAUACUCCACCGCUUGUGCGGGCCCCCGUCAAUUCCUUUGAGUUUCAAGCUUGCGCUCGUACUCCCCAGGUGAGGCGCUUAAUGCGUUAGCUACGGCACGGGAGGGGUCGAUACCUCCCACACCUAGCGCCCAACGUUUACGGCCAGGACUAC
rnacentral:misc_RNA from 1 species